rnacentral:rRNA from 1 species
GAUGAACGCUAGCGACAGGCUUAACACAUGCAAGUCGAGGGGCAGCGGGGACGAAGCUUGCUUCGUCUGCCGGCGACCGGCGCACGGGUGAGUAACACGUAUGCGACCUGCCCCCCGCAGGGGGAUAACCGGGAGAAAUCCCGACUAAUACCGCGUAACGCCGCGGGGCUGCAUGGCCCCGCGGCCAAAGGAAGCGAUUCCGGCGGGGGAUGGGCAUGCGGCGCAUUAGCUAGUCGGCGGGGUAACGGCCCACCGAGGCGACGAUGCGUAGGGGUUCUGAGAGGAAGGUCCCCCACACUGGUACUGAGACACGGACCAGACUCCUACGGGAGGCAGCAGUGAGGAAUAUUGGUCAAUGGGCGGGAGCCUGAACCAGCCAAGUCGCGUGAGGGAAGACGGUCCUACGGAUUGUAAACCUCUUUUGCCGGGGAGCAACGGGGUCCUUGCGAGGGCCCGAUGAGAGUACCCGGAGAAAAAGCAUCGGCUAACUCCGUGCCAGCAGCCGCGGUAAUACGGAGGAUGCGAGCGUUAUCCGGAUUUAUUGGGUUUAAAGGGUGCGUAGGCGGGCUGUUAAGUCAGCGGUCAAAUGUCGGGGCUCAACCCCGGCCUGCCGUUGAAACUGGCGGCCUCGAGUGGGCGAGAAGUAUGCGGAAUGCGUGGUGUAGCGGUGAAAUGCAUAGAUAUCACGCAGAACUCCGAUUGCGAAGGCAGCAUACCGGCGCCCGACUGACGCUGAGGCACGAAAGCGUGGGUAUCGAACAGGAUUAGAUACCCUGGUAGUCCACGCAGUAAACGAUGAAUGCUAGCUGUCCGGUUCUACGGGACUGGGUGGCACAGCGAAAGCGUUAAGCAUUCCACCUGGGGAGUACGCCGGCAACGGUGAAACUCAAAGGAAUUGACGGGGGCCCGCACAAGCGGAGGAACAUGUGGUUUAAUUCGAUGAUACGCGAGGAACCUUACCCGGGCUCAAACGCCAAAGGACAGCCGUUGAAAGGCGGCCUCCCUCCGGGGUCUUUGGCGAGGUGCUGCAUGGUUGUCGUCAGCUCGUGCCGUGAGGUGUCGGCUUAAGUGCCAUAACGAGCGCAACCCCCAUCGACAGUUGCUAACGGGUAGAGCCGAGGACUCUGUCGAGACUGCCGGCGCAAGCUGCGAGGAAGGCGGGGAUGACGUCAAAUCAGCACGGCCCUUACGUCCGGGGCGACACACGUGUUACAAUGGCCGGUACAGCGGGAUGCCAGGGCGCGAGCCCGAGCGGAACCCGAAAACCGGUCUCAGUUCGGAUUGGAGUCUGCAACCCGACUCCAUGAAGCUGGAUUCGCUAGUAAUCGCGCAUCAGCCACGGCGCGGUGAAUACGUUCCCGGGCCUUGUACACACCGCCCGUCAAGCCAUGGGAGCCGGGGGUGCCUGAAGUGCGUUACCGCGAGGGACGCCCUAGGGUAAAACCGGUGACUGGGGCUAAGUCGUAACAAGGUAGCCGUACCGGAAGGUGCGGCUGGAACACCUCCUUUCUGGAGCAGGCGCGCCGCCGAGGCCGCCCGGUCCGGGACAUCUGCCGAAAGGGACGGAGCCGUCGCUCCUGUUUUCCGACUCUGUUGUCACACCAUAUAAUCGGGACGCACCGAGAAAACACAACGGCGGCCGCGCAGCCGCCCCAGUGGGGCGGUACCGACGCGCGCAGUCUCUUAGCUCAGUUGGUUAGAGCGCUACACUGAUAAUGUAGAGGUCGGCAGUUCAACUCUGCCAGGGACUACUCGAAAAAAGAGGACAUUGACAUACUGGAAGCCGAGGCGGAUUUACCGCCUCGAAACAAACGAGCAAAUCAAAGAAUCAAGACAGACGAGCCCGCCGGCGGCAUGACAGCCGCCGGGGAAGUUCGACCAAUAUACCCAAGUCCGGCUCCACGGAGCCUGGCAGGGGAAAAGGCAGUCGACUUUCCGCCGGUCGUAAGACACACGGAAAGGAGAAAAGGGCACAUGAAGGAUGCCUUGGCUCUCGGAGGCGAAGAAGGACGUGACAAGCUGCGAUAAGCCGUGCCCAGGGGCAAAUACCCGCCCAAGCACGGAUUUCCGAAUGGGGCAACCCGCCGCGGGCGACCGCGGCACCGCGCCAGGCGCGGGGCCAACCCGGGGAACUGAAACAUCUAAGUACCCGGAGGAAAAGAAAACAACAGUGAUUGCGCAAGUAGUGGCGAGCGAACGCGCAGCAGCCCAAACCGGCCCUGUCACGGCAGGACCGGGGUUGAAGGACCGUCGACAGCGUGACGAAGCGAGGUUAGCCGAACCGGCUGGAAAGCCGGGCCAUAGCGGGUGACAGCCCCGUAGGCGAAAACCCUGCCAGUCGCCAGACGGCACCUGAGUAGUGCGGGACACGAGAAAUCCUGCACGAAUCCGCGGGGACCAUCCCGCAAGGCUAAAUACUACCGAGAGACCGAUAGCGAACC